UACGUAUGGUGCAAGCGUUAUCCGGAUUUACUGGGUGUAAAGGGAGUGUAGGCGGUUUUACAAGUCUGAUGUGAAAACCCGGGGCUUAACCUCGUGGAUUGCAUUGGAAACUGUAGAACUAGAGUGUCGGAGAGGUAAGUGGAAUUCCUAGUGUAGCGGUGAAAUGCGUAGAUAUUAGGAGGAACACCAGUGGCGAAGGCGGCUUACUGGACGAUUACUGACGCUGAGGCUCGAAAGCGUGGGGAGCAAA
rnacentral:rRNA from 1 species